GUUUAUCAGAGAUUGACAAUGGUGUAAUAACCGAAACCGGUCUUUCUAAGUAUCAAUAAAUCUGAGGUUUUGACAAUUUCUUAGUCUUUUUCAUUCAAUUCUUAAUCUAGUACCUAAAAAAAGUUUAGAAUAUCCAUAGUGAAUACCAGAAACCAGUAUGACAGGACGGAACAAUAUUUUGCUAAAAAUAAGAAGGCAUCUCAUCCUAAAAUGUUUGAAAAUAAAUACAGAUUUUCUUAAAAGCAGAAUAGAAUUUAGUGCCUCAGAAUGUUUAAAGUAAUGUAUGAUGUUUAACAGUGCAUUCCAGUAAUUCAUUAGACUAUAUCAAAUUAGUAUGAAUUUCGAUGGUAAAUUAUAGUAAAGAGCAACAUCUCUCGAUUAUAUCAGGGAUUUUAAUGUUUGAGUUUAUCAAAUAUCAAGAAUGAAAUUAGUUUUAUAAUUGUAUGACAUUUGGAGCAAAUUCACACAAGUAGCGUCGGUGAUCUAUAAGUAAUAAUAUUGAUGCUUUGACAUAUCUACAUUACACAAGAAGUUUUUAUUUUCCAGCUCAAUCUUUGAUCUCUAUAGACGUAACUUCUGAUGAAUACUUCAACUCCUUGAAAAUAUAAAAUGACGCGUUCAGUUACUAAAAUAAUAGGCUUGAAGGUAAAGCUUUGAAUGAAAAUUGGUAAUAUGUAAUUUGCUGUAGACCAAACUUAUUCAAAUAAAUGUAAUCAUAAUUUUUCUGUAUUCUUGGUAAGAAAUAGUGAAUUGUAUCCCCCUAUUUAUACAUUAAUUAUUUUCAAAUAAUCUACUCUUUCCUAUAAUAUAAAAUAAAAUUCUAACUUUUUUAUGAAUGAAUGAGUUUUUCCAGGAUAAAUGAAGUUUUAAGAAUGUUGUUAUCUAGGGUUAAAAGUAGUCCUGUUUUUAUAUUGUGUGAAUUAUUGUAGAAUUGCUAAAAAAUUGAGUAAAUGAAUGUUAUAAAUAGUUUUUUACAAUAUUAGGUCUCUCGCACACUUGCAUGGUUUCCAUCUUCUAAACUUUGAUUUUAUUCCUGUUGAAGUUUUUUUAAGCUUGGUUUUUAUAUUCUUGAAUUUGAUUUAAUUCGUUUCAACUUUUUUCCCCAUCACCUAUAAAUAAAUACUAUUUAAAAGUAUGUAUGUAGUAAAGUUGAAGUAAGUAAUUAUCCGACAAUUGCUGCGAAAUUCAGCAAACAGAUUUGAUAGUUUUUUACAAUAUUAAAAACUUGCAUGGUUUUCAUCUUCUAAACUUUGAUUUUAUUCCUGUUUAAGGUUUUUGAAGCUUGGUUUUUAUAUUCUUGAAUUUGAUUUAACUCGUUUCAACUUUUUCCCACAUCACCUAUAAAUAAAUACUAAAUACUAAAUGGUUUUUAUCUUCUAAAAUUUGAUUUUAUCCCUGUUCAAGUUCUUUUCUAAUUUACAAUAAAAAUGCGAUUCCCCAUAACUUGGUAGAGUGUAGAGAUUAUUAUAUAAGUUUUAGGACAUAAUUCUAUGGCGUUUAUUCUAUAACUCCUCUGUUUUUGCUACUGACAAGUUCUUCUGAACUUCAGCAACUUAUUUUUUUCUUUUCAAAUUAAAUACAUUUUUUCGGUUUCACUCUGUAAUAGGAAUAGAUAUCUUGAAAAUAGGCCGAUUUUGUUGAAUGACAAAUGAAAAUUCUCUAAUCUAGCCUUGAAUCGAACCCUAAACCAAAGGGAGAUAGGUAAUGGACAGUCAUGCAUAUUUGUGUGAUACGAUUUUGUUCAAUGACAAAUGAAAAUUCUCUAAUCUAGCAUUGAAUCGAACCCUAAACCAAAGGGAGGUAGGUAAUGGACAGUCAUGCAUAUUUGUGUGAUACGAUUUGUAUAUUUUCUAUAUUAAAUUUAUAUAUAUUUUAUAUACUAUACUGAGUGAUUCAAAAGUCACGAAACCAAAAACUUAAAACAGUGUUAUAAUUUGGGUUGCAUGACUCUCAUAUCGCUAAAUUUUUAUACUAUAUAAACUAUAAUGUGUCAUUUGGGCCCGGUUUCUAGGUCACUUAUUCAAUCUGUACGUAAUGUGUCAUUUGGGCCCAGUUUCUAGAUCACUUAUUCAAUCUGUACGUAACGUGUCAUUUGGGCCCGGAUUCUAGGUCACUUAUUCAAUCUGUGCGUAAUGUGUCAUUUGGGCCCUGUUUCUAGAUUACUCAUUCAAUCUGUACGUAAUGUGUCAUUUGGGCCCGGAUUCUAGGUCACUUAUUCAAUCUGUGCGUAAUGUGUCAUUUGGGCCCUGUUUCUAGAUUACUCAUUCAAUCUGUACGUAAUGUGUCAUUUGGGCCCGGUUUCUAGAUUACUCAUUCAAUCUAUUUGUUCAAUGGUCCAUUAGAUUUAAUAAGACGUGUGAUACAAACCUGGCCCUAGUAUCAAGUAUCAUGAAUAGAAUAUUGAGUUGAUAGUUGAACCAUAAUUAUUAUUAUUAGUUACUAUUAUUAUUACUUUCAAUAAAUUGUAGAUUUAUAGUAAAAUUGAGUUUUAGUAUUUGUAUGCUCACUAAAAACUAUAGGCCCGGUCGCACAAAACCCGGUUAAAUUUUAAUCGUAAUUAAUUCUACGAGAACUAAUAACAGAAGGUUUUUCCAAGCAGAAGGCUUCUAUGAUUGGUUCUCGUGAAAUAAAACACGAUUUAGAUUCAACCGGAUUCUGUGCAACUGGUGAAUAGAGUUUUUGUAUAUCGCACAUAAUAUUCACUAGACUUUAUUGUAUAGAAUGGUUAUGGGAAUUAAUUUUAUUUAGUCAGUGUUUGAACUAUUGAGACAAGAUUUCCAUGCUAGUCAAUUAGUUAUGAAACCUGAGUUGAUUUUAAUUUUCAAUUUUUUCCAAUCCAGACAUUAUUCAAUUAUAAUAAUUUGUUAUUUCAA